rnacentral:rRNA from 1 species
CAAUAGCGUAUAUUAAAGUUGUUGCAGUUAAAAAGCUCGUAGUUGGAGUUCAGAGUGAGCUCGUCCGGUCGGCCUUAUGGGUCAGAACUGGUUGACUCUCUCUUGUUUGUGGAUCCUGUUCGGAGUUAAUUCUUCGGAUGUGGAGUCCACAUCGUUUACCUUGAAAAAAUUAGAGUGUUCAAAGCAGGCGUUUGCUUGAAUAUAUUAGCAUGGAAUAAUGGAAUAGGACGCUGGUUCUAUUUUGUUGGUUUUGAGAACCAGAGUAAUGAUUAAUAGGGACAGUGGGGGCAUUCAUAUUUCAUUGUCAGAGGUGAAAUUCUUGGAUUAACGGAAGAUGAACUACUGCGAAAGCAUCUGCCAAGGAUGUUUUCAUUGAUCAAGAACGAAAGUUAGGGGAUCGAAGACGAUUAGAUACCA